rnacentral:lncRNA from 1 species
CUUGUGGAGGCGCCCAGGGUCUCUGCCUCUGGGAAGGCAGCAGGCUGAAGCCCCUGGUCCGUGGUGGCCUGGGGACCCCACAGACGGUUCCGCAGCAGGCUCAGGCCUGUGCAGGAGAGGGUGCAGCGCGGCAGGCUGGGGUGGGGGGCGGCUGCCAUUGGGGUAGGGAGCUAGGCGACCUUCCGUUACCCCUUUACCACUUCCCAGUCCCCUCCUUGCCAGCUUCCCACCAGAUGCUCCUUCCUUUCCUGUCCUCAGAAGCCCGGUUGAUGCUGCCUGCCCUGUGUGCACUCCCCUGCCUUCUGCUCUCCCAGCACUCAGGGUCUCCGUGAGGGUCUCUUUGACUCCACACGCAGACUUUGUCUGUGGAUGGCAGUGCACUCCAUGAAGGUGGGCAGAGGUGCUGGGGCCUCGGUGCGGGCGAGAGGUCGCAGUGCAGUCCAAGCGGCUGCAGAGGGCUCUAGCGCAGCAAAGCUGGUUGGACCCAAGCUCUGACCCCUCUGCCCUCAAAGCCUGGGUUACUGAACCCUCAUGAGCACCAAGAACGAAGAGAAGUAAAAAGGGACACUUGUGACCUGCUGGGGGCUGAGCCACCCCUAACUCCAAGAAAAGUCUAGAGAACAAGAAAAGAGCCACAGCAAACCUGGGACCCUGCAGGGCGAAUCGGGGAGGGAUUCGUGCUUUUUACUUGCAAUGAAAUCUGUAAAGUUCUUGAAUAGGAAACA